rnacentral:tmRNA from 1 species
GGGGGUGUUCCGGAUUCGACGGGCAUGGUUCGAUAUUGACGGCGUGCCGAGGAUGAUUGUUGGCCUCGUAAAUCAUCAAUCAAAAAAAUUAAAUGCGAACGAAGAGUUUGCUUUGGCCGCUUAAUUAAAACAAGCGCCAUGUCUGCCAGCCUAUGGGCGUAAGCGAAGCGGGCAUCAUUUAGCGUCCUGGCCCUAAGCCUUGGCAAUUGGGGCGCGGGGUAAGAUUUUUCGAUUGCUAGUCUGUCAAAGGUCUGUUGACCGGCCGUUUGAUGGACGAAAAAAAUUUUUAGAUCAACUACGCAUGUAGAAGUCAAUAUUUUUCUAUGUUCACACGCGGGUUCAACUCCCGCCACCUCCACCA